AGAGUUUGAUCCUGGCUCAGGAUGAACGCUAGCGGCAGGCUUAAUACAUGCAAGUCGAGGGGUAGCAUGAUUGUAGCAAUACAAUUGAUGACGACCGGCAAACGGGUGCGGAACACGUACACAACCUUCCUACAAGUGGGGAAUAGCCCAGAGAAAUUUGGAUUAAUACCCCGUAACAUAGCGAUGUGGCAUCACAUUGCUAUUAUAGCUUCGGCGCUUGUUGAUGGGUGUGCGGCUGAUUAGAUAGUUGGCGGGGUAACGGCCCACCAAGUCUACGAUCAGUAGCUGAUGUGAGAGCAUGAUCAGCCACACGGGCACUGAGACACGGGCCCGACUCCUACGGGAGGCAGCAGUAAGGAAUAUUGGACAAUGGACGCAAGUCUGAUCCAGCCACGCCGCGUGAAGGAUUAAGGUCCUCUGGAUUGUAAACUUCUUUUAUAAGGGACGAAAAAAGGUCUUUCUAGAUCGUCUGACGGUACCUUAUGAAUAAGCACCGGCUAACUCCGUGCCAGCAGCCGCGGUAAUACGGAGGGUGCAAGCGUUAUCCGGAUUCACUGNGUUUAAAGGGUGCGUAGGCGGGCAGGUAAGUCAGUGGUGAAAUCCUAGAG
rnacentral:rRNA from 1 species